GACGAACCGUGCGAACGUUGUUCGGAUUCACUGGGCUUAAAGGGCGCGUAGGCGGCUUGCCGAGUCAGGGGUGAAAUCUUUCGGCUCAACCGGAAAACAGCUUCUGAUACUGGCGGGCUGGAGGGAGGUAGGGGCAGACGGAACUUCCGGUGGAGCGGUGAAAUGCGUAGAUAUCGGAAGGAACGCCGGUGGCGAAAGCGGUCUGCUGGACCUCUUCUGACGCUGAGGCGCGAAAGCCAGGGGAGCAAACGGG
rnacentral:rRNA from 1 species